GACGAACGCUGGCGGCGUGCUUAACACAUGCCAGUCGAACGGAAAGGCCCUGCUUUUGUGGGGUGCUCGAGUGGCGAACGGGUGAGUAACACGUGAGUAACCUGCCCUUGACUUUGGGAUAACUUCAGGAAACUGGGGCUAAUACCGGAUAGGAGCUCCUGCUGCAUGGUGGGGGUUGGAAAGUUUCGGCGGUUGGGGAUGGACUCGCGGCUUAUCAGCUUGUUGGUGGGGUAGUGGCUUACCAAGGCUUUGACGGGUAGCCGGCCUGAGAGGGUGACCGGCCACAUUGGGACUGAGAUACGGCCCAGACUCCUACGGGAGGCAGCAGUGGGGAAUAUUGCACAAUGGGCGGAAGCCUGAUGCAGCAACGCCGCGUGCGGGAUGACGGCCUUCGGGUUUUAAACCGCUUUCGCCUGUGACGAAGCGUGAGUGACGGUAAUGGGUAAAGAAGCACCGGCUAACUACGUG
rnacentral:rRNA from 1 species